GGGAGGGAGGAGAGGAAGAAUGAAGGAGAGGAGGAAUGUGAAUGCGAUGAGAUCGGCGGUGGUGGUGCUCGGAGCACUCGCAUUUGGGUACCUGACUCUACAGCUUGGUUUUAAGCCCUAUCUUGAAAGAGCCCAAAUUGCUGCUGACCAGUCUGAGCUCUCUUCUUCCUCAGAGCAACAACAACAAGAACAAGAACAACCCAACUCGAGCUCAACCCGCCAUUUCUAAAUGGGCCAGCGAGGAAAAUGGACAAAUAACGAGGCGGCAGCUGUAUAGUCCCCCUGAUGAUGAUUGUGAGUCUCAUUUGUACCAGUCUCCAAUGCUUUUCAGACAGUUUUGUAUGAAUUUUCCUUAAUUGAGCAGUGUGUGAGUGAGGGGAAUUCGAAUCUGGUGCAUUGAAGUAGAAUUGCUAACAUAUAUGUAUAAUUACUGAAUCCCAGUUGUAGACAAUACUUAAUGGAUGGCACUGCAUGAGAUGGAUUGGAGGCAUGGCAAAACAUGGCAUUUAUGUA